AUACAGGGGGUGCGAGCGUUAAUGGGAAUUACUGGGCGUAAAGAGUACGUAGGCGGUUGCUUAAGUCAGAUGUGAAAGCCCCGGGCUCAACCUGGGAACUGCAUUUGAAACUGAGUGACUAGAGUUUAAGAGAGGGGAGUAGAAUUCCGGGUGUAGCGGUGAAAUGCGUAGAGAUCCGGAGGAAUACCAGUGGCGAAGGCGGCUCCCUGGCUUAAAACUGACGCUGAGGUACGAAAGCGUGGGUAGCAAACAGGAUUAGAAACCCUGGUAGUCC
rnacentral:rRNA from 1 species